AUUCUACUCAUGCGGGGAAGGAUGAGAAGCUUCGACUAAGGUUCGAUUCGAGCGCAGCGAGAAAGCGUUGCCGCAGGCAACGACCCGAAGGGCGAAGCGCGCUGCGCUGAGUCAUCCUUCCCCCACCACCA
rnacentral:sRNA from 1 species